GUAGGUGGCAAGCGUUGUCCGGAAUUAUUGGGCGUAAAGCGCGCGCAGGUGGUUCUUUAAGUCUGAUGUGAAAGCCCCCGGCUCAACCGGGGAGGGUCAUUGGAAACUGGGGAACUUGAGUGCAGCAGAGGAAAGUGGAAUUCCACGUGUAGCGGUGAAAUGCGUAGAUAUGUGGAGGAACACCAGUGGCGAAGGCGACUUUCUGGCCUGUAACUGACACUGAGGCGCGAAAGCGUGGGGAGCAAACAGGGAUUAGAUACCCUGGUAGUCCACGCCGUAAACGAUGAGUGCUAAGUGUUGGGGGGGUUUCCGCCCCCUCAGUGCUGCAGCUAACGCAUUAAGCACUCCGCCUGGGAUACGGUCGCAAGACUG
rnacentral:rRNA from 1 species